AGACAGACAUACAGAGUGGGGCUCAACUAGUCUUUCAGAAGAUAACAUUGUCUGCACAAAUGUUGAUGGGAAAGUGGGAUAUGGGUUGGUGGUGGCCGUGCCUUGGGGAUGUGAGUGUUGACCUGCACAGCCAACUCCACGAGUGAAGUGAACGGGACGGCGUGUGAUUCACAAAUGAGAAGACAGAGGAGUUUUAUUCUGAGGAUCACUUAAGUCAGUUUGUGGCUGAGCCGGUACCCAUCCUGAGUCUGGUGAUUCCAGGUGCUGGAUUCUUCCCCCACGUGCCCUUCAGCUCUGGACCUAAGCUAUUCUCCACGUGGAAGGUGGCGUUCCUGAUAACACUGCUGCCCACGUGGCUGGGGACAGUGCUAUGAUAGAAACCUACCCGGGAACACCACACCCAGCAGAUCUCCGUGUAUGUGAAUGGACAUUCCCUUUGGUUUAUACCUGAACGCUGUGCAUCUAUUUUGGGUUGCAUAUUGUGUUUGUGUAUUUAUGCUCUGAUUCAUAGUAACUUCCCAUGUGAUGGAAUUGAUUUGCAUUGAAUGCAAACUGUAAAUAAAAAGAAAU